AGUUAAUAACUGAAGCUGGGAAAUGUGGAAUAGUUUGGUUAAUUUUGGCGUUUCAACAAAGAAGUUCAUAUUUGAUAAAUAUUUUAAUUACGAAUAAUUCUUUUAAAUAUACCUAUAUAUAGAAAUUAAGGCGAAUUUUUCUAACCUAAAAUUUUUUUUUUUGCAGAUUAACAAGGCGAGAAAGUAAGUUUACAAAAUCGACUGGACAUUGCUGGCCGUGAUACGAGUAUCAUACGAUAUCUGUUUUAGUUGCAGUUGCUUGAUGGUUAUACGUUUAACCAAACCGAUACCUUUGAAACAGCAUGUUGAAGGAGAAACUUUGCAAUAUCAUCUAUGACAUCAAAUCGUAACAUUACCCGACGGUUGUGUGAUAAAGAUAUUGAGGCGCUGUUCCAACCGCAUUUAAUAAACGUUGGAGAACAAGGCAUCGCUAGAUCAGUGUUUAACACCAUACAAGCGGGCUUGAAGAUAUAUGACUGGAAUUGUACAAGCACAUCGUGCGCGAGUUAACAAACUGUUGUUUGUCGCGAGUAAAAGAAAUUAUAUUUAUUUGGGCGGUACACUUAUUUUCGUGUUGCCUGUUUUAUUCAUAAUUUCUUACUGACUACAUUUUAUAAUAUUAGUGCUAUUUAUACUUAUGCGAAUGUUUGCUUACUUGCUAUA